rnacentral:rRNA from 1 species
CCUACGGGCGGCAGCAGUGAGGAAUAUUGGUCAAUGGGCGGGAGCCUGAACCAGCCAAGUCGCGUGAGGGAAGACGGUCCUAUGGAUUGUAAACCUCUUUAGGCGGGGAGCAAUGCCGGGCACGCGUGCCCGGAGGGAGAGUACCCGCAGAAUAAGCAUCGGCUAACUCCGUGCCAGCAGCCGCGGUAAUACGGAGGAUGCGAGCGUUAUCCGGAUUUAUUGGGUUUAAAGGGUGCGUAGGCGGAGUGUCAAGUCAGCGGUAAAAUUUCGGGGCUCAACCCCGUCGUGCCGUUGAAACUGACGCCCUUGAGGGAGUGAGAAGUAAGCGGAAUGCGUGGUGUAGCGGUGAAAUGCAUAGAUAUCACGCAGAACGCCGAUUGCGAAGGCAGCUUACCGGCGCUCAACUGACGCUGAGGCACGAAAGUGCGGGUAUCGAACAGGAUUAGAUACCCCUGUAGUC